CCUACGGGGGGCAGCAGUGGGGAAUAUUGGACAAUGGGCGCAAGCCUGAUCCAGCCAUGCCGCGUGGGUGAAGAAGGCCUUCGGGUUGUAAAGCCCUUUUGUCCGGAAAGAAAAGCUUCGGGCUAAUACCCCGGGGUCAUGACGGUACCGGAAGAAUAAGCACCGGCUAACUUCGUGCCAGCAGCCGCGGUAAUACGAAGGGUGCAAGCGUUACUCGGAAUUACUGGGCGUAAAGCGUGCGUAGGUGGUUCGUUAAGUCUGAUGUGAAAGCCCUGGGCUCAACCUGGGAAUUGCAUUGGAUACUGGCGAGCUAGAGUGCGGUAGAGGAUAGUGGAAUUCCCGGUGUAGCAGUGAAAUGCGUAGAGAUCGGGAGGAACAUCUGUGGCGAAGGCGACUAUCUGGGCCAGCACUGACACUGAGGCACGAAAGCGUGGGGAGCAAACAGGAUUAGAUACCCCAGUAGUC
rnacentral:rRNA from 1 species